GGUUAAGCGACUAAGCGUACACGGUGGAUGCCCUGGCAGUCAGAGGCGAUGAAGGACGUGCUAAUCUGCGAUAAGCGUCGGUGAGGUGAUAUGAACCGUUAUAACCGGCGAUUUCCGAAUGGGGAAACCCAGUGUGAUUCGUCACACUAUCAUUAACUGAAUCCAUAGGUUAAUGAGGCGAACCGGGGGAACUGAAACAUCUAAGUACCCCGAGGAAAAGAAAUCAACCGAGAUUCCCCCAGUAGCGGCGAGCGAACGGGGAGGAGCCCAGAGCCUGAAUCAGUGUGUGUGUUAGUGGAAGCGUCUGGAAAGGCGCGCGAUACAGGGUGACAGCCCCGUACACAAAAAUGCACAUACUGUGAGCUCGAUGAGUAGGGCGGGACACGUGGUAUCCUGUCUGAAUAUGGGGGGACCAUCCUCCAAGGCUAAAUACUCCUGACUGACCGAUAGUGAACCAGUACCGUGAGGGAAAGGCGAAAAGAACCCCGGCGAGGGGAGUGAAAAAGAACCUGAAACCGUGUACGUACAAGCAGUGGGAGCCUCUUAAUGGGGUGACUGCGUACCUUUUGUAUAAUGGGUCAGCGACUUAUAUUCUGUAGCAAGGUUAACCGAAUAGGGGAGCCGAAGGGAAACCGAGUCUUAACUGGGCGUUAAGUUGCAGGGUAUAGACCCGAAACCCGGUGAUCUAGCCAUGGGCAGGUUGAAGGUUGGGUAACACUAACUGGAGGACCGAACCGACUAAUGUUGAAAAAUUAGCGGAUGACUUGUGGCUGGGGGUGAAAGGCCAAUCAAACCGGGAGAUAGCUGGUUCUCCCCGAAAGCUAUUUAGGUAGCGCCUCGUGAAUUCAUCUCCGGGGGUAGAGCACUGUUUCGGCAAGGGGGUCAUCCCGACUUACCAACCCGAUGCAAACUGCGAAUACCGGAGAAUGUUAUCACGGGAGACACACGGCGGGUGCUAACGUCCGUCGUGAAGAGGGAAACAACCCAGACCGCCAGCUAAGGUCCCAAAGUCAUGGUUAAGUGGGAAACGAUGUGGGAAGGCCCAGACAGCCAGGAUGUUGGCUUAGAAGCAGCCAUCAUUUAAAGAAAGCGUAAUAGCUCACUGGUCGAGUCGGCCUGCGCGGAAGAUGUAACGGGGCUAAACCAUGCACCGAAGCUGCGGCAGCGACACUAUGUGUUGUUGGGUAGGGGAGCGUUCUGUAAGCCUGUGAAGGUGGCCUGUGAGGGUUGCUGGAGGUAUCAGAAGUGCGAAUGCUGACAUAAGUAACGAUAAAGCGGGUGAAAAGCCCGCUCGCCGGAAGACCAAGGGUUCCUGUCCAACGUUAAUCGGGGCAGGGUGAGUCGACCCCUAAGGCGAGGCCGAAAGGCGUAGUCGAUGGGAAACAGGUUAAUAUUCCUGUACUUGGUGUUACUGCGAAGGGGGGACGGAGAAGGCUAUGUUGGCCGGGCGACGGUUGUCCCGGUUUAAGCGUGUAGGCUGGUUUUCUAGGCAAAUCCGGAAAAUCAAGGCUGAGGCGUGAUGACGAGGCACUACGGUGCUGAAGCGACAAAUGCCCUGCUUCCAGGAAAAGCCUCUAAGCAUCAGGUAACAUUAAAUCGUACCCCAAACCGACACAGGUGGUCAGGUAGAGAAUACCAAGGCGCUUGAGAGAACUCGGGUGAAGGAACUAGGCAAAAUGGUGCCGUAACUUCGGGAGAAGGCACGCUGAUAUGUAGGUGAAGCGACUUGCUCGUGGAGCUGAAAUCAGUCGAAGAUACCAGCUGGCUGCAACUGUUUAUUAAAAACACAGCACUGUGCAAACACGAAAGUGGACGUAUACGGUGUGACGCCUGCCCGGUGCCGGAAGGUUAAUUGAUGGGGUUAGCGGCAACGCGAAGCUCUUGAUCGAAGCCCCGGUAAACGGCGGCCGUAACUAUAACGGUCCUAAGGUAGCGAAAUUCCUUGUCGGGUAAGUUCCGACCUGCACGAAUGGCGUAAUGAUGGCCAGGCUGUCUCCACCCGAGACUCAGUGAAAUUGAACUCGCUGUGAAGAUGCAGUGUACCCGCGGCAAGACGGAAAGACCCCGUGAACCUUUACUAUAGCUUGACACUGAACAUUGAGCCUUGAUGUGUAGGAUAGGUGGGAGGCUUUGAAGUGUGGACGCCAGUCUGCAUGGAGCCGACCUUGAAAUACCACCCUUUAAUGUUUGAUGUUCUAACGUGGGCCCGUAAUCCGGGUUGCGGACAGUGUCUGGUGGGUAGUUUGACUGGGGCGGUCUCCUCCUAAAGAGUAACGGAGGAGCACGAAGGUUGGCUAAUCCUGGUCGGACAUCAGGAGGUUAGUGCAAUGGCAUAAGCCAGCUUGACUGCGAGCGUGACGGCGCGAGCAGGUGCGAAAGCAGGUCAUAGUGAUCCGGUGGUUCUGAAUGGAAGGGCCAUCGCUCAACGGAUAAAAGGUACUCCGGGGAUAACAGGCUGAUACCGCCCAAGAGUUCAUAUCGACGGCGGUGUUUGGCACCUCGAUGUCGGCUCAUCACAUCCUGGGGCUGAAGUAGGUCCCAAGGGUAUGGCUGUUCGCCAUUUAAAGUGGUACGCGAGCUGGGUUUAGAACGUCGUGAGACAGUUCGGUCCCUAUCUGCCGUGGGCGCUGGAGAACUGAGGGGGGCUGCUCCUAGUACGAGAGGACCGGAGUGGACGCAUCACUGGUGUUCGGGUUGUCAUGCCAAUGGCACUGCCCGGUAGCUAAAUGCGGAAGAGAUAAGUGCUGAAAGCAUCUAAGCACGAAACUUGCCCCGAGAUGAGUUCUCCCUGACCCUUUAAGGGUCCUGAAGGAACGUUGAAGACGACGACGUUGAUAGGCCGGGUGUGUAAGCGCAGCGAUGCGUUGAGCUAACCGGUACUAAUGAACCGUGAGGCUUAACCUU
rnacentral:rRNA from 1 species